rnacentral:rRNA from 1 species
GACGAACGCUGGCGGCGUGCUUAACACAUGCAAGUCGAGCGGAAAGGCCACUUCGGUGGUACUCGAGCGGCGAACGGGUGAGUAACACGUGAGUAAUCUGCCCCUCACUUUGGGAUAGCCACCGGAAACGGUGAUUAAUACCGGCUAUGACCAUAUGUCGCAUGGCGUGUGGUGGAAAGUUUUUCGGUGAGGGAUGUGCUCGCGGCCUAUCAGCUUGAUGGUGAGGUAAUGGCUCACCAUGGCUUCGACGGGUAGCCGGCCUGAGAGGGUGACCGGUCACACUGGGACUGAGACACGGCCCAGACUCCUACGGGAGGCAGCAGUGGGGAAUAUUGGACAAUGGGCGGAAGCCUGAUCCAGCAACGCCGCGUGAGGGAUGACGGCCUUCGGGUUGUAAACCUCUUUCAGUACCGACGAAGCGCAAGUGACGGUAGGUACAGAAGAAGCACCGGCCAACUACGUG